UAACGUGAGUGGUAGGGGAGCAUUCUAACGGGGUAGAAGGUGAUUUGUGAGAAUUGCUGGACCUUUUAGAAAAGAAAAUGUAGGCAUAAGUAACGAUAAGGGGUGCGAGAAACACCCCCGCCGUAAGACUAAGGUUUCCUGAGCUAUGCUAAUCAGCUUAGGGUUAGUCGGGACCUAAGGCACACCCGAAGGGGGACGUCGAUGGCCAACGGGUUAAUAUUCCCGUACUACUUAUAAUUGUGAUGGAGUGACACAGUGAUGAAAGCACCGCGAACUGACGGAAUAGUUCGUUGAAGCACGUACCUAUUGGUUUGAUAGUAAAAUGCGUCAGACUAGGAGAAAUGCGAUAGUACUUUGAGUCUUCGGACAACGAGAUAGUGUGCCUAAGGGCUGUCAAGAAAAGCUUCUAAACUUAGAUUAUAAGUACCCGUACCGUAAACCGACACAGGUAGUCGAGGAGAGUAUCCUAAGGCGCUCGAGAGAUUCAUGGCUAAGGAACUAGGCAAAAUAGACCUGUAACUUCGGGAGAAAGGUCGCCAGCGCAAGCUGGCCGCAGUGAAAAGGUCCAGGCGACUGUUUAUCAAAAACACAGGGCUCUGCAAAAUCGUAAGAUGAAGUAUAGGGCCUGACACCUGCCCGGUGCUGGAAGGUUAAGAGGAGAUGUUAUC
rnacentral:rRNA from 1 species